UACGAAGGGAGCUAGCGUUGUUCGGAAUCACUGGGCGUAAAGCGCACGUAGGCGGAUUGCUAAGUCAGGGGUGAAAUCCUGGAGCUCAACUCCAGAACUGCCUUUGAUACUGGCGACCUUGAGUCCGGGAGAGGUGAGUGGAACUGCGAGUGUAGAGGUGAAAUUCGUAGAUAUUCGCAAGAACACCAGUGGCGAAGGCGGCUCACUGGCCCGGUACUGACGCUGAGGUGCGAAAGCGUGGGGAGCGAACAGG
rnacentral:rRNA from 1 species